rnacentral:rRNA from 1 species
GUCUAUAAUCAUACCUCCCUAAAUAUGCUAUUUUAUCUAAUCUUGAAAACUAAUCAGGAUUGGGACUGGCUAGUACUUGCAUGGAAAACCACCUGGGAAUCCUGGGUGAUGUACACU